GCCUGGGUGGCUCAGUCGGUCAAGCGUCUGACUUGGGCUCAGGUCAUGAUCUCACUGCUCGUGGGUUCGAGCCCCGCGUCAGGCU
rfam:Felis catus isolate Cinnamon breed Abyssinian chromosome C2, whole genome shotgun sequence.